AUUUGAUCAAAUCCCAGAAAGGGGAACACCAAAUGAACUCAACAUCACCCUCCUAUAUUAAAUAAAGCUGCAGUCCCUUUAUUUUUUCAUGUAAAAAUACAUAAACUGGAGAACAAGAGAUUACCACCACAUUAGAAAACUACUACCUUCAACUGCUAAAUGCAUGAAAUUGGUAAAGGUACUGUAAUUUUAUUUAUCUUCGCAGGUGUUCCUUUGGCGUUCCACAUGUGGGGUCUGACAGAUAUGUACAUCUGAAAUCCUGAGGCUGACAAAACGUAAAGUUCUACUAUCAACUUUUCUUCGGCCAUCACAUGUGAUGGGUUUUAGGAUUUCACAUGCUCCUGACACAGUCCCUGGGAAAUGAUUUGCCAGGAGCUGAAGAAGAUUUCCAGGAAGAAGAUGGCAGCGGACGUGAGAUUCAGACAAGUUAACCUACCUUCCACUGCAACUCGCAGCCAGGCGAGCCUAACCAGAGAUGUCACUUUCAGGGGUCUUUGCUAAAUAUAUACUGCUCAGUAUAGUAGGUAUCACCAUUAACAAUGUCAUAGUCUCCACUUAUACAAGCCUAAGUCAGUUC